UCUCUCCCCCAAAUCAGUCCCUCCCCGGCCUGUGUGCGCCGCCGCCGCCGCCGCUGCCGCUCCAGAACGCUGCCUCCCCGACGACUCCCGCGCCCGUUCCAAAACCCUACGCUCGGUCCCCGGAGCUGCGUCCGUGUCCGCCGCCGCCAUUCCGCCAACCGCCGACUCGUCGCUCGUCGGUUCGCCGCCCACCCACGCGAUCGCCGGAGGAUCGGGGACCGGAUCCUAGGGCGCGCCCUCCCUCCCUUCCCAUGCCCUCCGCACCGUCGCUGCCAUGAGCCUCUCCUCUCUCUCCCGCGCCCUCGCCCGGUCCGCACGCUCCACCCGGCCGCUGCGGUAGGGUUCUCUGCUCGAGGGGUAUGCCGGGCUCCGCGCGGCGCCGACGCCGCGGCCGUCGAUGCCUGGCGGUGAUGUCAGUGGAUUGCGGUUUGUGUGUAGCUACUUGACGUCGGCGCUGGGGAGCCGUGCGGCGGCGCCCACCGGGCAAGGGAAGGUCGGGGAUUGGAGGUUCGUGCUCGCCAACUAGCAAUUCCGGCGGAUGUUCUCCGAUCGGUCCAAUAAGAGUGAGCUUUCUUUGCGGGUUCGGAUAAUCCCUUUCCGCUUUAGACUACGAGAAGUACCAUCCAAAGGAGAAGCAGGAGGAGCUGAAGGGCGAUGGGAGUGACAAGUCUGACCCCAAAAGUAAAUAGUGAGGAUUCCAAUUCAAAAUUUCAGUGGAAUUUCAAGGAGGAUGUCAUAAAAAAAAUUUCCAGGACCCCUUGCUCCUCUUCUUUUUCUUGGGCUAAUGCUGGCAACCUUACCCCAAGGUUCAUCUGCCGUGGAGGUAUGCUGCUUACUGGCAGAUCUACUAUUAAACACACUUAUAAGUUGCAAUUGUCUAUACGUUGUUUGUUUCCUAUAACACUGCAGUCUUGUGUAUUAAUUUAUCUGGUCAUGGCUGAUUACAAAAUAACACACUGCAGUCCGCAGUUGCUUUCUUGUAAGUUCUAACCAUUAUUCCCAAAAAUUUUAGACAAAAGCAUCUCUUAAUUCUGGUGUAUAAUUUCUGUGAUGAUGAUAUG